rnacentral:rRNA from 1 species
UUGAACGCUGGCGGCAUGCCUUACACAUGCAAGUCGAACGGCAGCACGGGUGCUUGCACCUGGUGGCGAGUGGCGAACGGGUGAGUAAUACAUCGGAACAUGUCCUGUAGUGGGGGAUAGCCCGGCGAAAGCCGGAUUAAUACCGCAUACGAUCUACGGAUGAAAGCGGGGGACCUUCGGGCCUCGCGCUAUAGGGUUGGCCGAUGGCUGAUUAGCUAGUUGGUGGGGUAAAGGCCUACCAAGGCGACGAUCAGUAGCUGGUCUGAGAGGACGACCAGCCACACUGGGACUGAGACACGGCCCAGACUCCUACGGGAGGCAGCAGUGGGGAAUUUUGGACAAUGGGCGAAAGCCUGAUCCAGCAAUGCCGCGUGUGUGAAGAAGGCCUUCGGGUUGUAAAGCACUUUUGUCCGGAAAGAAAUCCUUGGCUCUAAUACAGUCGGGGGAUGACGGUACCGGAAGAAUAAGCACCGGCUAACUACGUGCCAGCAGCCGCGGUAAUACGUAGGGUGCGAGCGUUAAUCGGAAUUACUGGGCGUAAAGCGUGCGCAGGCGGUUUGCUAAGACCGAUGUGAAAUCCCCGGGCUCAACCUGGGAACUGCAUUGGUGACUGGCAGGCUAGAGUAUGGCAGAGGGGGGUAGAAUUCCACGUGUAGCAGUGAAAUGCGUAGAGAUGUGGAGGAAUACCGAUGGCGAAAGGCAGCCCCCUGGGCCCAAUACUGACGCUCAUGCACGAAAGCGUGGGGGAGCAAACAGGAUUAGAUACCCUGGUAGUCCACGCCCUAAACGAUGUCAACUAGUUGUUGGGGAUUCAUUUCCUUAGUAACGUAGCUAACGCGUGAAGUUGACCGCCUGGGGAGUACGGUCGCAAGAUUAAAACUCAAAGGAAUUGACGGGGACCCGCACAAGCGGUGGAUGAUGUGGAUUAAUUCGAUGCAACGCGAAAAACCUUACCUACCCUUGACAUGGUCGGAAUCCCGCUGAGAGGUGGGAGUGCUCGAAAGAGAACCGGCGCACAGGUGCUGCAUGGCUGUCGUCAGCUCGUGUCGUGAGAUGUUGGGUUAAGUCCCGCAACGAGCGCAACCCUUGUCCUUAGUUGCUACGCAAGAGCACUCUAAGGAGACUGCCGGUGACAAACCGGAGGAAGGUGGGGAUGACGUCAAGUCCUCAUGGCCCUUAUGGGUAGGGCUUCACACGUCAUACAAUGGUCGGAACAGAGGGUUGCCAACCCGCGAGGGGGAGCUAAUCCCAGAAAACCGAUCGUAGUCCGGAUUGCACUCUGCAACUCGAGUGCAUGAAGCUGGAAUCGCUAGUAAUCGCGGAUCAGCAUGCCGCGGUGAAUACGUUCCCGGGUCUUGUACACACCGC